rnacentral:lncRNA from 1 species
UUCAGACUCCAGCAAUUUGAUUCAGCUAUUCUAGUAUGAAAAACCUCACACAACAUAGCCCAUACCAAUGAAGUGCUGUCUUACCAGUCUGGUACAAAACUCUGCAACUCCUCCUUUUCAGAGUUCCCAGCAACCUCUGAUGUCCAUUUAAAGCAGCAUUCCAUUUUUUUUCACAUCGAUUUAAUUGACUGUGCCCCAGAGAUCUAAAGACACAAACCACUGUAUCAUGUUUACAUGGCAAGUUGUUCGCAGUUGAGUGUCUGCAGUUUGGCUCCGAGGAGAGACUAGGGCUGCCCCAUGCUGGACACAGCCAGUUCCAGCAGCUUCCAUGCCACCCCAGAAGACCCACUGCACGGCACAGGAGGAGUGGGAGAGCAAGUGGAUGGGGGUCUGGUAGCCAGUCAAGAACUACACCUAUCAGAUCAAAGAGAAAAAUAAUCCCUGCUCCAGAUAUUUCUGUGUUCUUGGGAAAUAACAAGGAUGUGGAGAACAGAUGACAGUAGUCUGAAGCCGACCACUGAACAUUUACCAGAUUAGUUUUGAUAUUCUUGGCAAACUCUAUCAUCUUGAAGGAAUAAGAGGGAGGAAAAUCCCCAAAGCAGUGUUGCUGGUAUUUCUUCAUUCUUCACUUCCAGAGGAAGAGAUUUGUAGAUUAAAAUUCAUAUUGCUUUAAUAUGUGCCUGUUGCUUACUUUUUAUUUCAUUUUAUAGCCAUUUCUACUUUUAUAUUCAUUUCUAUAAAGCAAUCAAGAACUACAAUAUAAAGAAGGGUUGUCUAUGUAGUACUACAACAACCCUUUUUCGUUACAAAAAUGCUGUAAAAGGAAAAGAAAGUAACAGCUGCUGAAAUUCUGCAAAUAAUCUUGUGUGACUCUAAUCACAAAAUGAUGCAUUAAAUAGCUUUCAUAGUUCUCAUGUGGAAAACAGAUUAAUAUGUACCAUUGUAGCAGUCAGUGGUCAAGACCGUUGCUGUCCAUGUAAACUUGCUGCUCAGAAAAAAUAAAUUAUUUCAAUUUUGGUAAUAAAGAAUCA